UACAUACUCCCUCCGUUCUAAAAUACUUGUCUGAAGAAUGGAUGUAUCUAUAUGUAUUUUUUUCUAGAUACAUCUAUUCCUAUUCAUUUUGCGACAAGUAAUUCCGGACGAGGGGAGUAUUUG
rfam:Hordeum vulgare subsp. vulgare, WGS project CAJW01000000 data, contig: morex_contig_275349